rnacentral:tRNA from 1 species
GCGGGGGUUGCCGAGCGGCCAAAGGCGCGGGACUUAAGAUCCUGUCUUUAGUAGUUCAGGGGUUCGAAUCCCUUCCCCCGCA